ensembl:misc_RNA Metazoa_SRP Metazoan signal recognition particle RNA
GCUGGGUGUGCUGGUGUGCACCUGUGGUCCCAGCUACUCAGGAGGCUGAGGUAGGAGGAUCACUUGAGCCUGGGAGGUCCAGGCUGCAGUGAGUCGUGAUUGUACCACUGCACUCCAGCCUGGGCAACAGAGUGAAAUUCCAUCUCUU